GACAGAGGGUGCAAACGUUGUUCGGAUUUACUGGGCAUAAAGCGCGUGUAGGCGGCUUUGCAAGUCGGAUGUGAAAGCCCACGGCUCAACCGUGGAAGUGCAUCCGAAACUGCAUGGCUGGAGUCUCGGAGAGGAAGGUGGAACGCUUGGUGUAGAGGUGAAAUUCGUAGAUAUCAAGCAGAACACCUGCGGCGAAGGCGGCCUUCUGGACGAUGACUGACGCUGAGACGCGAAAGCGUGGGGAGCAAACAGG
rnacentral:rRNA from 1 species